rnacentral:rRNA from 1 species
GAUGAACGCUGGCGGCGUGCCUAAUACAUGCAAGUCGAGCGAACAGACGAGGAGCUUGCUCCUCUGACUUUAGCGGCGGACGGGUGAGUAACACGUGGAUAACCUACCUAUAAGACUGGGAUAAUUUCGGGAAACCGGAGCUAAUACCGGAUAAUAUAUUGAACUGCAUGGUUCAAUAGUGAAAGACGGUUUUGCUGUCACUUAUAGAUUGAUCCGCGCCGCAUUAGCUAGUUGGUAAGGUAACGGCUUACCAAGGCAACGAUGCGUAGCCGACCUGAGAGGGUGAUCGGCCACACUGGAACUGAGACACGGUCCAGACUCCUACGGGAGGCAGCAGUAGGGAAUCUUCCGCAAUGGGCGAAAGCCUGACGGAGCAACGCCGCGUGAGUGAUGAAGGUCUUCGGAUCGUAAAACUCUGUUAUUAGGGAAGAACAAAUGUGUAAGUAACUAUGCACGUCUUGACGGUACCUAAUCAGAAAGCCACGGCUAACUACGUG